rnacentral:rRNA from 1 species
AUGUCAAGGCAGAGGUGUUGCCACAGUCAGAGCCAAAUGAGAGGAUUUUUCUUCCUCAUCUGUGGUUUGGGUUUUCUAAUUCAUCUCUUCUUUCGAGGCCUUUUACAGUUUUACUGCAUUCAGCUUCACCAUUUCCUCGCAAAUUUCAUUCUGCACAUUCCGUGCUUUAUCACGCUCUACGAAACCUUUCUCCCCAAACUUCAGCUUGUUGAGGAAGUAUUUCCGCGUAAAGCUCUAGAUGAACAUAGACAAGACCUAGGCAUAGGGCGGAACCGUCAUCAUCAAGCAUGUUGGAUCUGA